GAGAGAGAGAGAGAGAGGGAGAGAGAGAGGGUCGAUCCAGACUCAGAGUGCAGUGGUGAUUCAGUCGGUCGAGAGAGGAAGAAGAGAAGAAGAGAUGAGCCCGAUGAGAAUCCCACUCUGAAACCUGGUCCUUUGCAGCCAGGAGCCAACUGCCACAUCCUGCAUUUGAUGCAAGGGUCUCCACAUCCAGAGAAGGAUUUUACUUUUGUCCACACAUCUGCAAGAACAGUUUAAAACACAAAUGUCAUAUAGUGCCUCAAACCUGGAGUCCCUGAGACCGCAGUAAGCCAGAGUCUGUACUCGCCAGGGUUGGGUGUCGGCCAUGUCUAGGCCUCUUCUCUCAGACCCCCAGGAGAAGCUCCUCAGCCACUCCAUCCUCACCGCAGCCCGGCUGGCCCGCAGAGGAUGGACAGAGGAAGGGAACAAGACAGGGUGGCAAUUUUCCCAUUUUG